AGUGAACGCUGGCGGUAGGCCUAACACAUGCAAGUCGAACGGCAGCACAGUAAGAGCUUGCUCUUACGGGUGGCGAGUGGCGGGCGGGUGAGGAAUACAUCGGAAUCUACUUUUUCGUGGGGGAUAACGUAGGGAAACUUACGCUAAUACCGCAUACGACCUACGGGUGAAAGCAGGGGAUCUUCGGACCUUGCGCAAUUGAAUGAGCCGAUGUCGGAUUAGCUAGUUGGCGGGGUAAAGGCCCACCAAGGCGACGAUCCGUAGCUGGUCUGAGAGGAUGAUCAGCCACACUGGAACUGAGACACGGUCCAGACUCCUACGGGAGGCAGCAGUGGGGAAUAUUGGACAAUGGGCGCAAGCCUGAUCCAGCCAUACCGCGUGGGUGAAGAAGGCCUUCGGGUUGUAAAGCCCUUUUGUUGGGAAAGAAAAGCAGCAGGUUAAUACCCCGCUGUUCUGACGGUACCCAAAGAAUAAGCACCGGCUAACUUCGUG
rnacentral:rRNA from 1 species